UCCGGCUGCCCCAGUUUAGUAUCCUUGCCGGCGCUAGGGUUGGCUGCGCCGCACCUAGAGGAGCUGGAUAUACGCAAUUGCCCAAAAAUCGAUUGUUUUGUUGAAGAGUGCCUCCCGCCGAGUUUGGAAAAAGUUGUAGUCAUUGGGUGCCAGAAACUAGCGAGGUGGAUAACAUCAAAGGGUUUGCAGAGUGAAGGCCUUACCUAUCUUUGGCUUGGUGGAUGCUUCGAUGUAAAUUCGUUCCCAAGAGAGGGUUGCCUUCCUUCAUCUCUCGAGUCUCUAGAAUUGUGGAACUUUCCAAAUAUGGAGACGCUUGACAGCAAGGGGCUUCACCAUCUUACCUCCCUCAAAAGGUUAGCAAUUGGUGACUGUAGAAAGCUUGAGAGUGUCACAGAAGAACAUUUGCUUGCUUCCAUAGCAAAUAUCUACAUUGGGGAAGAAUGUCCUUUGAGGCGUAAGCUGGAAGAGAUGGAACACCCACCGAUUCAAUUUGUUUGUUACAAACGCGACUCGGAUUACUCUGAUGAUGAUUACCCUUAUGAUUGAUUCUGAUGUUACACCAUUGUAUUCGAAUGAGAGGGGUCAAAGGCAUACGGCAUACUCUUGCAUUGGUUCUUCCAGAUUUGCGCUCAUGAAAUUCUAAUAUUCUAAUGUGUUGCUCAUCUGACUUUUAUCAUCGGGUGGGGUGUGUGGUUAUGCAAAAACCGAAUGAAGGUUGAAGGCUGAGGAAAGUUGAGAAUUGGGGUGCACUGAAGUUUAUAAAUGGAGCAACUUGCUAUACCAGUGAAUCUCUAGAACCACCGAUUAUGUCAAUUUGCUUCUGCUGCAAAGAAAGCAAAUAAUCAAGGUAUUGGGCUUGCCAGAGACCGUGAAAGCAGUAUGAUUUCUUUCAUGAAACAUUGAAUCUAUGAUUGGGACUGCUAGCCUGUGUGACUUGAAAAACUGGUAGCAAUUCAAUGCUUGGUUGCACCUAGCUAAAAUGCCUCAGACUAGAACAUUGCCUACUUCUUUAAUCUAUGGCUUUUCAUCAAUAAUAAAUCCUGUGCCAAGAUAACACAGACAAUUGAAGGAAAACUUCUUGAAUCCUCAGGAAGGAAGAACUUCUUUCACGUAAAUCUUGAACCAUUCAAGUGAUUUUGGGAUAUGUAAACGGUAAGGGGUCUGCAUGAAUAAAAGGCAGAGAUGAGGAGGAAAGAAUCUCUCCACAUGAAGGACCCAAAACUUGGCAAAAGAUUUCCCAUGUAUGGGGCAUUGAUGAGGUAUUGCACUAGCUGAGGCUGUACAUGGAUCAGCACCUGAUAUUGCUGGAAAGAAUUUUGGAAAUCCAACUGCUUGGCUGCUGAGGUGGUGUUUCAAUGUUGUGCCAUUUGAAUCUCCACGAUAAAGCGGACGAAACUCUAAAUGCCCUACUCAACACAGUUGCAGAAGCAAAGUACCGACUACCGAACUGCUGAUCUUGGAGGCAAAGCAGAGACAACCGAGUUCACCAAUGCAAUUAUUGAUUUAAUCAACUAUGUUCCUAGAAACGCUUUAUUAAAAAUGAAUUAUUGGGUGUAUGCUUUAGUUCAGUAUUUUUGUUUAUUGGUAU